UGGGGAAUAUUGGGCAAUGGGGGCAACCCUGACCCAGCGACGCCGCGUGGGGAAAGACGGCCUUCGGGUUGUAAACCUCUUUUGUACGGGAAGAAGGAAGUGACGGUACUGUACGAAUAAGUCCCGGCUAACUACGUGCCAGCAGCCGCGGUAAUACGUAGGGGACCAGCGUUGUCCGGAAUUACUGGGCGUAAAGGACGCGCAGGCUGUGCUGCAAGUCAGCUGUUAAAUGUCUGGGCUUAACCCGGGCAUGCGGUUGAGACUG
rnacentral:rRNA from 1 species